rnacentral:piRNA from 2 species
UGGAGAAAGAGGAACACUCCUCCAUUG